rnacentral:rRNA from 1 species
UACGAAGGGGGCUAGCGUUGUUCGGAAUCACUGGGCGUAAAGCGCACGUAGGCGGAUUUUUAAGUCAGGGGUGAAAUCCCGAGGCUCAACCUCGGAACUGCCUUUGAUACUGGAGAUCUUGAGUCCGGAAGAGGUAAGUGGAACUGCGAGUGUAGAGGUGAAAUUCGUAGAUAUUCGCAAGAACACCAGUGGCGAAGGCGGCUCACUGGCCCGAUACUGACGCUGAGGCGCGAAAGCGUGGGGAGCAAACAGG